UCAGUCGGUUAGAGGCGCAGGUUAGCCAAGGAAUGCAAAUGCUUGUUGAGCAAGCACCGCCUAAGCGACGGGGACGUCCUCCAAAGGGUAUGGAGCGUCCGCGCGUUCCACAGACUCAGGAAGAUAGCAUAAAAAGUCGCCUCAGAAAUGCGGAGGAAAUGGGUCAGAAGCCGAGGGACUUCGUCAUUGAUCAUAGCAGAAGUGCUAGUUUGCGUGUUAUGAAUAAUAUCGCCAAUGGCCGUUGGUCGGAGGACAUGGAGAUGGACGAUUUUAUUUAUUAUUAGGUGUUUUUUGAAUGGUUUUUAGAGCGCUUUUUGCUUUGUUUCCUGUUUGACGAGCUCCUUUUCGAGUCUCGGGCCUCUAGUCUGCAUUCUUGUGCUUUCAAAG
rnacentral:lncRNA from 1 species